rnacentral:lncRNA from 1 species
CAGAUUGCACUAGUGCUGCGCAUCUUGUUUCUUCUAGACUGUCUAUAUCUGUUCGCCUUGUUUCUUCUGCCAGUUCUUCGUCGUAUUAUUCAACGGAUGGUGAUUGCCACAUGAUGUUGGCGGGUAGUUUGGCUUCUGAGCCAUAGAUGAGGAAAUAGGGCGAUAGCCCUGUAGUCUUGCAUGGUUGGGUACGUAGGCCCCACAGAGCGUUGGGUAACUGUUUGAGCCAUUUGCCGUCUUUGGUAUUGCCAACAUCAUGUAGUCUUUUCUUGUUGGAGGUAUGCCCUAGAGGCAAUCAUAGAGAUGAUGAUAUUCCAUUUGUAUCCAUGAUUUGUAUGUUGUGUUCAUUGAAUAUCCAUUGAAGGCUGCUUGAAUUGAUUUGCAAUUAUGUGAAUUGUAUGUGAAACUCUUUACUUGUAUGGUUAUUCUAAAGUUGUCCCUAGUCGGAGUUCAUGUGAGGACACACAUGAAUAUUAGACUAGCACAUGUAUUAGUUGAUGACUAUGUUUCACAAGUAAUGGACAUGGAGAUGUUGAACUAAUAAUGUGGACACAUGUGGAGACAU